rfam:Triticum urartu cultivar G1812 contig354857, whole genome shotgun sequence.
CUACUACUCCCUUCGUCCAAAAAAUCAUGUCCUUCAAAUGGAUCUAUCUAGUAUCACAAAUUAGUGCUAGAUACAUCCAUUUGAUGGACAAUCUUGGGACAAGUUUUUUCAGACGGAGGGAGUAUAUG